rnacentral:rRNA from 1 species
UACGGAGGGUGCGAGCGUUAUCCGGAUUUACUGGGUUUAAAGGGUGUGUAGGCGGGCUGGUAAGUCAGGGGUGAAAUCCCGGAGCUCAACUCCGGAACUGCCUUUGAUACUACUGGUCUUGAAUAUUGUUGAGGUAGGCGGAAUGUGUCAUGUAGCGGUGAAAUGCAUAGAUAUGACACAGAACACCGAUUGCGAAGGCAGCUUACUGGGCAAUGAUUGACGCUGAGGCACGAAAGCGUGGGGAUCAAACAGG